GACGAACGCUGGCGGCGUGCCUAAUACAUGCAAGUAGGACGCAGUUGCGAACGGGUGAGAAACGCGUAGGUAUCUGCCUAUUAGAGGGGGAUAACAAUUGUAAACGAUAGCUAAUACCGCAUACUAGUAGAUGGACCUGCGUUGUAUUCGCUAGUAGGUAGGGUAAUGGCCUACCUAGGCGACGAUACAUAGCCGAGCUGAAGAGGGGAUCCGCCACAAUUGGACUGGGAAACGGGCCAGAACCCUACGGGAGGGAGCAGUUGGGGAACUUCGGCAAUGGGGGGAACCCUUACCUGGCAACGCCGCGUGAGUGAAGAAGGUUUUUGGGUCUGAAAGCUCUGUUGUUAAGGGAGCGGUACUUAACCAGAAAGGGACGGCUAACUACGUGCCAGCAGCCGCGGUAAUAC
rnacentral:rRNA from 1 species